AUGUAAUAUGAAAGUAUAAUAUAUAGUAGGGUUUUGUGUUGCCUGGUCGGUAUUAAUCUUUUUCCCUGCAGGGUGUAGUCAAGGUGGUGGUUAUUGAUCGUUGCGGUUGUGGGUUUAUUCUGAUCUGGAUCACUUGUAAAAGGUUAAUAUGUUGAUUGUUAUGAAUUGCAUAGUUGAUUGACUAAGUUGUUUGAAUUAUUUUUUGUUUGCAGUGGGUUGUUCAAUGAGCUGUUGAUGUAGACAUUGGUGCAAAUCCCUCUGCUGAAGGUGGUGGUGAGGAUGAAGGUGUUGAUGAUCAUGCCGUCAAGGUUGUUGACAUUGUCGACACAUUUAGACUUCAGAGCAACCUCCAUAUUACAAGAAGCAGUUUUUCACAUGGGUGAAGAGGUACAUCAAACUGUUGACACCCAAGUUGGAUGGGAAGAGCCAAGAGGUAUAUAAGAACAUAGAGGCAGCAACCAAGUUUCUGCUUGGGAAGCUCAGCGACCUCCAAUUCUUUGUUGGGGAAAGCAUGCAUGAUGAUGGUGGUUUGGUCUUUGCCUACUACAGGGAGGGUGCGACCGACCCAACAUUGAUCUACUUUGCUCAUGGUUUGAAGGAGAUCAAGUGCUGAGCAAUUGGCAUAGUAAGCUCCAAGCUUGUUGUAAUCCUAGUCUCUAUUAUGCUUUUUUUUUUUUUAUGUUUAAAAUUGGGGGAUGAGAGUAUUUUUGCUUGGUUUCGUUAGAAUAUUGCGUGUUUGUUGACUUGGGUUUAUGCCUUCUAUCUUGGUUUUAAUGGUAUUUCGACUUUGAUCUCUAAUUUGUUUGGUCCUAAAUUUUGGUUGAGAAAUAAUAUUGUGUUUGAAAUCAA